rnacentral:rRNA from 1 species
AGCGGCGGACGGGUGAGUAACGCGUGGGUAACCUGCCUCAUACAGGGGGAUAACAGUUGGAAACGGCUGCUAAUACCGCAUAAGCGCACAGUACCGCAUGGUACCGUGUGAAAAACUCCGGUGGUAUGAGAUGGACCCGCGUCUGAUUAGCUAGUUGGUGGGGUAACGGCCUACCAAGGCGACGAUCAGUAGCCGACCUGAGAGGGUGACCGGUCACAUUGGGACUGAGACACGGCCCAA